CCUACGGGGGGCAGCAGUGAGGAAUAUUUGUCAAUGGACGAGACCCUGAACCAGCCAAGUCGCGUGAAGGAUGACUGCCCUAUGGGUUGUCCACUUCUUUUAUAAAGGAAUAAAACGAGGCACGUGUGCCUUUUUGCAUGUACUUUAUGAAUAAGGAUCGGCUCACUCCGUACCAGCAGCCGCGGUAAUACGAGGAACCGAACGUUAUCCGGAUUUAAUGGGUUUAAAGGGAGCGGAGAUGGGUUGUUAAGUAAGUUGUGAAAGUUUGAGGCUCAACCGUAAAAUUGCAAUUGAUACUGGAAGUCUUGAGUACAGUUGAGGUAGGCGGAAUUCGUGGUGUAGCGGUGAAAUGCUUAGAUAUCACGAAGAACCCCGAUUGCGAAGGCAGCUUACUAAACUGUGACUGACAUUGAUGCUCGAAAGUGUGGGUAUCAAACAGGAUUAGAUACCCGUGUAGUC
rnacentral:rRNA from 1 species